GAAAGCGUGGGGAGCGAACAGGAUUAGAUACCUGGUAGUCCACGCCGUAAACGAUGAGUGCUAGGUGUUGCRGGUAUCGACCCCGCAGUGCCGUAGUUAACACAAUAAGCACUCCGCCUGGGGAGUACGGUCGCAAGACUGAAACUCAAAGGAAUUGACGGGGGCCCGCACAAGCGGUGGAGUAUGUGGUUUAAUUCGACGCAACGCGAAGAACCUUACCAGGGCUUGACAUCCUCUGAAAGCCAUAGAGAUAUGGACCUUACUCGGGUGAACAGAGAGACAGGUGGUGCAUGGUUGUCGUCAGCUCGUGUCGUGAGAUGUUGGGUUAAGUCCCGCAACGAGCGCAACCCCUAACAUUAGUUGCCAGCGAGUAAGGUCGGGAACUCUAAUGUGACUGCCGUUGACAAAACGGAGGAAGGUGGGGAUGACGUCAAAUCAUCAUGCCCCUUAUGUCCUGGGCUACACACGUACUACAAUGGCCGGUACAGACGGAAGCGAAGCCGUGAGGCGGAGCAAAUCUGAGAAAGCCGGUCCCAGUUCGGAUUGUAGUCUGCAACUCGACUACAUGAAGUCGGAAUCGCUAGUAAUCGCAGGUCAGCAUACUGCGGUGAAUACGUUCCCGGGCCUUGUACACACCGCCCGUCACACCACGAAAGCUGACAACACCCGAAGCCGGUGAGCUAACCGAAAGGAGGCAGCCGUCGAAGGUGGGUUGGUGAUUGGGGUGAAGUCGUAACAAGGUAGCCGUAUCGGAAGGUGCGGCUGGAUCACCUCCUUUCUAAGGAG
rnacentral:rRNA from 2 species